AUGUUCUGGAUUUAUGUUAGUGACCUAUUUAGAUGCUAUAUUUUGUUGGUGACUAUGGGGUUCUCAGAUUUAUUUUCUGAGUUCCUGAUUUUUUUUAUUUUGAGGUUCAUCCGGGCCUUUGAUCUUGGUAUUCCCAACAUGUUAAAAAAAGCCUCAACGAUAUCUGAUGUUCCAGAGGCCUUGAUCUCGUACAAUGGAAGAUCUACCUGGUACUUGGUUCUUAUAUGUGCAGAAGUUAUGCCAGACCUUUGA